rnacentral:rRNA from 1 species
CGCCUUGCCAGCCCGCUCAGAACUCAAAGGAAUUGACGGGGGCCCGCACAAGCGGAGGAGCAUGUGGUUUAAUUCGAUGAUACGCGAGGAACCUUACCUGGGCUUAAAUGCUUAAUGACGUACUGGGAAACUGGUAUUUCUUCGGACAUUUUGCAAGGUGCUGCAUGGUUGUCGUCAGCUCGUGCCGUGAGGUGUCGGGUUAAGUCCCAUAACGAGCGCAACCCUAUUGUUAGUUGCCAUCAGGUCAUGCUGGGGACUCUAACAAAACUGCCCGCGUAAGCGUGGAGGAAGGUGGGGAUGACGUCAAAUCAGCACGGCCCUUACGUCCAGGGCUACACACGUGCUACAAUGGCCGGUACAGAGGGCAGCCACUUGGUGACAAGGAGCAAAUCUCAAAAGCCGGUCUCAGUUCGGAUCGGAGUCUGCAACCCGACUCCGUGAAGCUGGAAUCGCUAGUAAUCGCGCAUCAGCCAUGGCGCGGUGAAUACGUUCCCGGGCCUU